rnacentral:misc_RNA from 1 species
AACGCACGAGACCUGCGGACCUGCGGAGGGAUCAUUAUCGAGUUUACAACUCCCAAACCAUUGUGAAUCUUACCUUUUCGUUGCUUCGGCGGGAUCGCCCCGGGCGCUUCGGUGCCCCGGAUUCAGGCGCCCGCCGGGGGACCUAAACUCUUGUAUUAUAGUGGAUUUCUGAGUGGAUUACACAAAUAAUCAAAACUUUCAGCAAUGGAUCUCU